CCUACGGGUGGCAGCAGUGGGGAAUAUUGGACAAUGGGCGAAAGCCUGAUCCAGCCAUGCCGCGUGUGUGAAGAAGGCCUUCGGGUUGUAAAGCACUUUCAGUGGGGAAGAAAGCCUUGGGGCUAAUACCCUCGAGGAAGGACAUCACCCACAGAAGAAGCACCGGCUAACUCCGUGCCAGCAGCCGCGGUAAUACGGAGGGUGCGAGCGUUAAUCGGAAUUACUGGGCGUAAAGCGCGCGUAGGCGGUCUGAUAAGCCGGUUGUGAAAGCCCCGGGCUCAACCUGGGAACGGCAUCCGGAACUGUCAGGCUAGAGUGCAGGAGAGGAAGGUAGAAUUCCCGGCGUAGCGGUGAAAUGCGUAGAGAUCGGGAGGAAUACCAGUGGCGAAGGCGGCCUUCUGGACUGACACUGACGCUGAGGUGCGAAAGCGUGGGUAGCAAACAGGAUUAGAUACCCCAGUAGUC
rnacentral:rRNA from 1 species